AACUCAGCAACUCUUCCUCUGGACAGGUUUUGAUAAAUCUCCCCAACAUUCUUUAAGAAUGGACUGUCUUAUAUACCCCAGCCUUUGACAAGCACCAUUGUAACAAGGGUUUGCAAAGUCGUUGUCUAUAGAAUGCGCUGACAACGCUGACAUAAACAACAGCUGGAAUCUUGUUUGGAAGAGUCGUGUGAUGUCAAGAAGUAAAUAAAAGACGUCCUACUUUACUAUGCAGUGACAGAUGCACAUGACAGCUCUAUGCAUCGGGAAACUGUGGAAGUCGGAAGUUUUCUACCCGGGGUGAUUUUUUUUUUGUCAUUUGCUUUAGUCAGUGCUUUAAGUUCCAAUAGGAUCUUAACAUGUGACAGAAAAUAGGUCAAGAACUGUAUUUUAUCUUCCUAUAUUUCCAAGGUCGUAACACUUUAAUAUCGUUUUGUAUAAGAAAAUUUUUGCCAUGCAUGAAAUUGACACUGGUAAGUAGAAGAUAGAAGACAGUGACUUUGACCUUAUUUACACUUCAGUUUUUGAAAGUUAUUAUUUAUCUUUUUUUUUUUUUUUUUUGACCGGGAUCAUGAGUGGAUUCAAGAAACAGAAGAAACAGAAUGUUACCAUCAUAUUUUUACUUCAUUCUGAGGUAUGAAUGAGACUUUAAAGAGUUUGUCCAGCAAAAGAAACAAUGUGAAAAAAACAACCUGUGUAAAAGUAUAAUAAAGCAACUUACAAAAAUAAUAGUAUUAGCUGUAGCGUACAGAUCUUCCACAUGAGCUGAGCUUGUAACUCUGUACACCUCUGGCUCCCUGCAUGUUUCCAGGGGUCUUCUCUCAGCUUUUCCAAACUGAAUGGAAUCAGAUGACUUUUGUUCCAUGGGCAUUUAAUGGUGGCAUGACCGCUAGGGAAAGCA